rnacentral:rRNA from 1 species
GAUUAACGCUGGCGGCGUGCAUAACACAUGCAAGUCGAACGAGGUGGCGGAAGGGUGAGUAACGCGUGAGUAACCUGCCUUAGAGAAGGGGAUAGCCUUGGGAAACGAAGAAUAACACCAUAUGCUCUAAGUUGGACUUGCGUCUGAUUAGUUAGUUGGUGUGGUAACGGCCCACCAAGACAGCGAUCAGUAGCCGGCUUGGGAGAGCGUACGGCCACCUUGGGACUGAGACACGGCCCAGACUCUACGGGAGGCAGCAGUGGGGAAUUUUGCACAAUGGGGGAAUCCCUGAUGCAUCGACGUCGCGUGAUUUAGAAGGCCUUCGAGUUGUAAAAUUCUUUUCUAUGGGAAGCAGUACCAUAGGAAUAAGGACCGGCUAAUUACGUGCCAGCAGCCGCGGUAAUAC